AGCACCGCUGUACUGUACUUCCUGUGAGUGAGGAGCAAACGAGAGGGUGUGGGUCGAGACCAGCAAAGUAAGCGGACAACUUUCAGACAACUGAAUCCCUUCCUAGGUCCCCCUUCCAGCUUAAUGUUUCCGAAUCAUCUCGGUUUACUGUGAUUUCCUGCACGUCCACACAUGGCAACUCUUCGCUGGAGGGUGGAUAUUCGAGUUUUCAAUCUAAUCCUGUUAAUCCCGUGUGAUCCGCCGACGAGGGACGCAAUGCUGUUCGGUGGAACAUCAUCUUGUUAAUUUCUGCUGGGUUUGGCUCGCUCGCUGGAGACACACUAGGGCUACUUCCACAGAUGCCAAUUAACCUGAGAACCCGCACGGGAUCUUUGUUUGGGAUGUGGGAGGAAACGGGAGCAUCCGGAGGAGACCCACACGGUCACAGGGAGAACGUGCAAACUCCACACAGACAGCAGCCCAGGUUAGGAUCGAACACGGGUCUCUGGCGCUGUGAGGCAUGGCACCAAACAUAAACCACAUGUCUACUACAGGAUAUACAGUAUAUACAGCUGAAUGGUGCCACGAGAGACUGCAUAUAUCCAGAUGACGUGCCUGAGGCCUGACAUCUACUCGUGUCUCAUGUAGGAGACACAGCAGCUGGUGUAAUUUUAUGAGGUUUUCAGUCCGUCAACUCCUUUCCUGAACUCUUCUUUAUCAGUCUGCAUUAAAAAAAUGUAGAGCUA